rnacentral:snoRNA from 2 species
CGUGGACGGAACGUGGCAGGCUGCGGAGGGCACACCCAUCCCUCAUACGCGGUUCAACACAUGAUCCCAGAGCUU